ACUGUAUCUUUUGAAUACUGUAUUGAUAGUCAGGCAGGUGGAGGGAAGUCGUUGCUAGGUCUGCCUGACAUUUACACAAAAACGAAUUAUACUUUAUGUAUUGAUUAACAUAUGGAAUUCUAUUACGUGUGACUGUGCUGCUAUGAUAAUUCAGAGUACUGAAACUGUCUUUUGAUCAUGACAACACGACCUCCACCCUGAACACACCACAGACCUCAGGAGAGGGCCCUUCAGGUAAAAUGUGUUUUAUAUUGUCUGGGUGGUACAUAGUACUAUAUUUUUACCUCCUGUUUUCUUCACCUUCUGUUCUUUGUUUUGUUUAUGAGUAACAGCUGGUACAAUAUUUCAUAUAAUAUUUCUCUAGCAUGCAGUGUGUCCACUAGCAGCAGUCAUUGGUAAUAACAGGUGAAUUCUCUCUGACAAAACCCCCCUCAAGGUACGAAGAGACCAAGGCGUAACGAAGGAGAGCCAGAAAUGCACAUGAGCCUGAGAAGCUCUGCUGCCCCAACUCACGAGAACGUUGAGAUAAGAGGAGAACGAGACCGGUUACUGGAGGCCAAUAGAAGCCUAACGCAAGAAAACCAAGACCUGAAGACGCAAAUAGAGAACCUGAACUCAAAGGUGGUGCAGUUGGAGGAGGAGAAAGCUAGCCUUUCUGAGGAGUGCAAACAGACUACGGCACGUACGGAAGCGGAGGUCAAAAACGGAAUAGACGACUUGUUCAGAAAAAUGCAACGUCAAAGAGGAGAUAUUGGAACAGGUCCUACUUCACAGCAGUACCAUUGACCCAUGUUGGUUACUUCAACUACACAUUCAGAGAGAGAGUGUAUAUAUAGUACGUUUUAAAUAGUGAAGCGACUAUCACUGGAAUCUAUGUUUAUUAAGCUGUUAUGGGUUAACUCCCCACCUAUCUCAUUUCACUGCUUUCCAGGUCAAUAGAUGUAAAACAAGGUCAAAACAUACGAUGACCUUCAGAUCCCAUGGGUGCCUUUGGGUUUUGGCAAAGAGAGCGUUUAGCUAUGAUAUGCCGAGUCGAGGGCUAGGCUCCUGGAUGGCCUCGGCCUGGAGGAGUUAGUCUUGAUUCCAGCUUUAUUACCUUCUUUUAAUGAUUUUUAUCUAGUAAACUUCUAAUAUUUUGAUUACUCUUUUAUGUUUGAUAAUUUAGUGUUUUUAUAUAAUAGUGCUUUAUUGUCUCCUGCUUGUUGUAACUACAUGUGAUUUUUUAUAUUGUUCUGUAAUGCAGGGCAUUGUUGUAAGGGAGACUU